rnacentral:misc_RNA from 1 species
GUUGCUUCUCAUCCGCAAAUUAAUUUGAAGCAAAAGUCUUUCCCAUACAAAUUAAUGACCCCAUUACGAAACGCUCGUGUAAACAUGCAAAGUUUCAAAACUAUAUGCCUUAUAGCUAGUGAGCAUUUAUAUACGGUCAGUAUUUAACAAUGGAAACCUGUUUUAGAAAUUGCUUCUCAGAGAGCCUUCCAUCUAAUAUCUACACUUAAAACUCCAUUUUUGGAAUUUAUUAGAUGAUACUUCUGAUUGAUUCGCCCAUUGUACACCACAUCCACAAGGUUAAUAUCCACAUACCCCAGCGUUUCCUACAACAACAUCAGUCAUUAGUUCAUGAUAUUAACUGAUGUCAACAAAGCUUAGAGCACAAAACCAGUAAACUUUGUAUCAGUGGCAUUAAAGUUGUCAUUAAAACUGUGAAGUCUCGAAUUCAAACUCUAACUAAUGCCCAAUAAAGAAAACAUUAAACAUGGACAAAAAAGCACAACCUUGUUUCUGAAGCUGAAGCCUGUUCCCUUGCUCAUGACAUCUAUACGGAUCUUCUCUUUCAGGGGAGCCUCUUCCAGCACAAACUGGAAUUCUUCAUUCCAUCUUGGAUCUCUUGUUCUCCUAAUCAACUUGGUUUGCUUCUGCUCUCCCCUGAAUAUAACCAUUGCAUAGGGGUUGUUAUGAUGCUUUCCCUCAACAUCCUCUGCUCCCUCAACUGUAACUAAAAGCAAACCACCUCUAUGUACCAACAUGUCUUCAGGUAUCCUUCCAACUCCACUUCCCUUCCUCACAUUGCAAUCUAAAGGUCCACUAAAUUUCUCACUAUCUUCCUUGAAAGGAUUAAAUGCCAUCUCCACGACAAGUUUGCCUCUGUGUUUUUUAUUCUGAGGAUCAUUAGGAUUUGGGUUUUUGACUAAAUCCAGCGUAAAUCUUUUGGUUUCAUAUGGAGUGAGCAAUCUGAGUGGAACUACUUGCAUCCCCAGCUUAUCAUGAGUACCAACCUUUUCCCAGUCGUAAACAUGUAAUUGAAGGACUUGAAACUCAGGAUCCUUGACAACAAGCUUGAAGUACUCGUUCCACUCAGGGCUAAGGUUCUUCAUCUUAAUAGAAGUUUUCUUUGCUGGAAGCCUCUCUCCAGACAGGCUGAGCUGAACAUAAGGAUCAGAUGUUCCCAACAGAUCCAUCUUCAACAGUCUAACUGCCCGUAUGACCUUCACAUGCAGAAUGCCUACAGGCUUCUUCAUAGCCCCUACUGAACCAUCCAGAAUCUGUAUGUCAAGGGUUUGAGGCCAGAGAUAAAGACUAGCAAUUUGUCGUCCUAUAUGUUCCUGUGGGCAAUGAGAAGAAAAUAUCAUUACCACAGAAUGCACAUAACCCCAUAAGUACACUUACCCAUACUUAUGCAAGUAUGAUAAGUAUACCUAUAAACACAUGCUCACUUGCAUGAGAUGUAAGCUUAAGAAAUACAAUAUUCCCUUCUCCAUCUUCUUUUCUAAUGAUGCCUAAUCUUAACUGAUCUGAUUAUGCAUAAUCCAAAACCAGUAUUCUUGGGAUCUCAACAAUACUUACUUAUCAGCUGAAUUUUAAUAUUUUCGGUUGUGAUUCCAUUUCACCCCUAAAUGCUCAAAGUAUUACAUUCACUCCCAAAUUAUGAAAAUUUAUCAUUUAGAUCACAUUUUAAACUAUAGUUCAGUGCGAUUGAUGCACAUCUCCUUACGCCUCUGACAUUAAAUCAAAACUUGCAAACUUGCAACCAGCAAUUGUUCUCCUGGUAAAUCAGUCAAUCAUUGUUCUGCCCCAUUAAGUGACAAUUUUUAUUGAAAUGUGGUUUUCUUGGUGAUCUACAGCAAAUUAUAAAAUAAGAGGAGUGUAUUAAAAAUGAUAGGGUUCAUUGUAGAAUAUAAUCUUCAAUUCUUUAAAGAACAUGAAAAACAAGUUGACUUCUGAAGGGUAGCAUUUUUUUUUAUUUUAAUUUGAGAAAGUGUGGCAGAUAUAUAGUUUGAAAUUGUAGUUGGGUUAUGAUCAUGUUUGUUGUUGGUGUCAACUCUCUAAAGGUCAACCAACCACUUGGUAUUUUGAACAAUAUCCCAAUUACAGUAUUUAAAUUUUCAUUACCCAGACAAAGUCAUAAGCUGCAAAUGUUGCUGCAACCACAUAGAAAAUUGUUUGUGAGGGUACCUGAACAAAUUGAUACAAACCAGGGAUUGCCAUUACAUCAGCUCCAAGCAGUUUCAGUCCAAAGUCUACACGUGGCUGCAAUUUAAAGCUUUUCUAGCAAAGAAACCACCAAGCUGCCGAAACAAGGGAAAGUAGGCACAAGAGGUCUUAAUGUGAUCCGAGGUACUGCAAAUACUUGAACAUCCAACAGCUGUACUGUAAUUGGUAGAGAUAAGAAUUUCAGCACCAGAGUUAUGUUAGGAUUUCCAACCCAUCGAACUGCAGGCUCAAUUACUAGUUCUUUUUCACUUGUUUCGUGCACUUUAAUACCUGCAAGCUCGAUAAAUAUGAUCCCAAUACAAGAAAAAGCGGAAGAGGGAAAAAAAUCCUAAUGACUAGACGAAUGUUGUUGAUAAUAAGUUGAUAAGAGAGAGAUAUGCUUCAUUAUUAAUUAAAUCUCCAACAUGUACAUUCCCUUGGCCAACUAUACAAGUGUUUUUACCUUGUGAAAAAUACUUGAACACUUAACUCAACUAAACCUCAAUUCCAAGUAGUUGAGGUUGGCUAUAUGGAUCCAAUUCCUUCCAUUCCACCCAGUCUAAGACUUCGUCUAAAGAAAGGUCAAGCAGGGCCACUAAGUGCUUAAAUAUAAUCUUAUAAUUCAGUUCCUACCAAACUCAUUGGCUUCAUAAACUUAACAUGAAAUUCCAUGAGGAACCUAAACACAAAAUCCAAUAUUUUUAUCAGCUAUAUUUACCAUGUA